UUCCGCUUUGACAGGAAGUCUUGGUCUGUUCUCAUCCAUCAUGGCUCCUCCACUCGCAGUGUCACCGCUAAUCAAGACUGCCAGGUGGUCCGCCCUGCUGCUUGGUGUGCUCUAUGGGAAGCAGAGAUUUGAUUACCUGAAGCCUAUUGCUGAAGAGGAGAGGAGGGUUGAGGAGGCAGAGAAGAAGCUCAGAGAGGAACAGGAACGCAUCUACAAACAACUGUCAGAAGCAAAUUCUGACAGCAUCCUCCAAUGAACUUACUUAUGGACCAAUCAUGAACUCAAUAAAAAUCUUCAAUAUUUUUCA